UACGGGGGGAGCAAGCGUUGUUUCGGAUUUACUGGGCGUAAAGGGCGCGUAGGCGGCGUGACAAGUCACUUGUGAAAUCUCCGGGCUUAACUCGGAACGGUCAAGUGAUACUGUCGGACUAGAGUACAGAAGGGGCAACUGGAAUUCUCGGUGUAGCGGUGAAAUGCGUAGAUAUCGAGAGGAACACCUGCGGCGAAGGCGGGUUGCUGGGCUGAUACUGACGCUGAGGCGCGAAAGCCAGGGGAGCGAACGGG
rnacentral:rRNA from 1 species